rnacentral:rRNA from 1 species
CAUUAACGUGUCUUUUUGAUUAUAAUUUAAAGUUGUCUCUGCCCAAUGAUUUUUUAAAUGGCCGCAGUAUUUUGACUGUGCGGAGGUAGCAUAAUCAAUAGUUUUUUAAUUGAGAACUGGUAUGAAAGAGUUGAUAAAAUAUAUACUUUAUUUAAUUAGAAUUUUAGAAUUUAUAAUUCUUAGUUAAAAUACUAAAAUUUAUUUAUGGGACGAGAAGACCCUUUAGAAUUUUAUAGAUUUAUUUUUAUAAAUAUUAAUAUUUAUUUUUAUAAAUUUAAAUUUAUUUUGUUGGGAGGAUAGUUAAAUUUAUUUAACUUUAAUAAUAUAAUUUACAAUAAUUAUUGAAUUAAUGAUUUUAAUUUUUAAUUUUUAGAUUAAAUUACCUAAGGGAUAACAGCGUAAUAUUUUUGGAGAGUUCAUAUUGAUAAAAAUGUUUGCGACCUCAGUUUAA